UUAAUCCUACGGGGCGCAGCAGUGGGGAAUAUUGCACAAUGGGCGCAAGCCUGAUGCGGCGACGCCGCGUGGGGGAUGAAGGCCUUCGGGUUGUAAACUCCUUUCGCUACCGACGAAGCCCUUUGGGGUGACGGUAGGUGGAGAAGAAGCACCGGCUAACUACGUGCCAGCAGCCGCGGUAAUACGUAGGGUGCGAGCGUUGUCCGGAUUUACUGGGCGUAAAGAGCUCGUAGGUGGUUUGUCGCGUCGUCUGUGGAAUUCCGGGGCUUAACUCCGGGCGUGCCGGCGAUACGGGCAUAACUUGG
rnacentral:rRNA from 1 species